UACGUAGAUAUAUAUGUAUUU
rnacentral:miRNA from 3 species